rnacentral:rRNA from 1 species
CAGUCGCCGCGGGAAUACGUAGGUCCCGAGCGUUGUCCGGAUUUAUUGGGCGUAAAGCGAGCGCAGGCGGUUAGAAAAGUCUGAAGUGAAAGGCAGUGGCUCAACCAUUGUAGGCUUUGGAAACUGUUUAACUUGAGUGCAGAAGGGGAGAGUGGAAUUCCAUGUGUAGCGGUGAAAUGCGUAGAUAUAUGGAGGAACACCGGUGGCGAAAGCGGCUCUCUGGUCUGUAACUGACGCUGAGGCUCGAAAGCGUGGGGAGCGAACAGGAUUAGAUACCCCAGUAGUCCCUGUCUCUUAUACC